GGCUGAAAUGGCUGCUGUGUUGUAGAAAAUUAAACAUGUAUGGCUUGGGAUUUCUUGUUGCGCUGCAGAUGGUGUCGGCAGUGUAAGGUGCUGGGGGUGGGAAGGGAGAGGCCAGGAAUGCGGCUGCCUGCAGUGGGGAUGUUGGCACGUCCCCAUCAGCGUUUGCAUGACAGUACUAUGCUGAUGGCUGGAACGAGGAUGUUCCCAAGCCAGGGCAGCCAAACACCUCCAGGUGCUGCAGGUGCCCUCGGUACCAGGCAAAGUGGGAUGGAUGGUGCAGGAGUCCUGAAGCAGUUGGUGUCUGGGGUGGGGAGGUGAGAGCAAGUAUGGAAGUAGGUGGGAGCGGGAGAGGAUGGCUUUGGGCAUGGCGUGGGGCAGGGAGUGGGGCAGGGAGGCGAAGGAGUGGGCUGCAUCCAAAGGGACCCAGACUGAUGGGAUGAGAGAUCACGGAAUCCUAGAAUGGCUUGGGUUGAAAGGGACCCUGAGGAUCAUCAUGUUCUGACCCCCCCUCCAACCUCAUGGAGUCCAGCAAGGCCAAAUGCAAGGUGCUGCACCUGGGUCAGGGCCGUCCCAAGCACAGAUAUAGGUUGGGUGGAGAAUGGCUUGAGGGCAGCCCUGAGGAGAAGGAUUUGGGGGCGUCGGUGGGUCGGUGAAAGGCACAACGUGAGCUGUCAGUGAGUGCUCACAGCCCAGAUCUUAUAGCAGCCUGCCAACACCUGGGGGGGCUGACAGGAAAGCUGGGGAGGGACUGCUCAUAAGGGCGUGUAGGGACAGGAUGAGGGGAAAUGGCUUUAAACUGGAAGAGGGGAGACAGAGGGCAGGCUGGGUGGGCUGUGAGCAACCUGGGCCGGUGGGAGGUGUCCCUGCCUACAGCCGAGGGUUGGGAUGAUGGUCUGACAGGUCCCUUCCAGCCCAAACCAUUCUAUGAUGCUGUGGUCUUGAAGGUCCUUUCCAACCCAACCCAGCUGAUGACUGGGAAGGCGCUCCAUCCUCAAACGGUGCCCAGCAGCAUCCUCCACUACACGGACCCCCUCUCUUUCCCCCUGACACCCCACCCACACCAUACGCCUGCGGAUGGAAAGGAGCAGACAUGGCC
ensembl:lncRNA